rnacentral:pre_miRNA from 1 species
UUUCUACAAAACUUUAUUUAUGAGGAAUAGUCUCCCUGGAUAGAGCUUUAAAAUAAUUAAUUGUUCACCAGAGAAAUUAUUCCACACAAAUACAGUACCAUUCCUAAUC